CGCUGCAGGAGGAGCUGAGCGCCCUGCAGGCCGGCCAGGCGGCCCAGUGGGGACAGAUGGAACGCGACUUGGCCACCGCCAGGACCCAGGAGGCCACGGCCACCACCAGGGCCACGGUGCUGCAGGACGAGCUGGACGCCUGGAGGGAAACGGUGGCCGAGCUGUGGGGCCAGGUGGCCACGGUGCAGGACCAGGUGGCCACGAUGAGGGACCAGGUGGCCACGGUGCACGACCAGGUGGCCACGGUGCAGGAGGAAGUGGCCACGGUGCAGGACCAGGUGGCCAUGGUGCGGGUGGAGGUGGCCACGGUGAGAGGACAGGCGGCCGCGUGGCAUGAGGAGGUGGCCACGGUGCAGGACCCGGUGGCCACGUGGCACGAGGAAGCAGUGAGAGGAGACGUGGCCGUGGUGAGAGGAGAGGUGGCCACGUGGCACAAGGAGGUGGCCACGGUACAAGACCAGGUGGCCACGUGGCACAGGGAAGUGGCCACGGUGCAGGACCAUGUGGCCACAGUGCAGGAUGAGGUGGCCACAGUGCAGGACCAGGUGGCCACGGUGCAGGAGGAGGUGGCCACGUGGCACGAGGAAGUGGCCACAGUGAGAGGACAGGUGGCCACGUGGAACAAGGAGGUGGCCACGGUGCAAGACCAGGUGGCCACGGUGAGAGGACAGGUGGCCACGUGGCACAGGGAGGUGGCCACGGUGCAGGGCCAGGUGGCCACGUGGCACGAGGAGGUGGCCAUGGUGCGAUGGGAUGGUGGCCAUGGGAUGGUGGCCUUGGGGUGACACGGUGGUGGCCAUGGGAGGACAUGGUGGUGGCCUUGGGGUGACAUGGUGGCCAUGGGGUGGUAAAGUGGUGGCCAUAGAGGGACACUGUGGUGGCCUUGGGGUGACAUGGUGGUGGCCUUGGGGUGACAUGGUGGUGGCCGUGGGGUGACAUGGUGGUGGCAGUGGGGUGAAACUCUGGUGGCCUUGGGGUGACAGGGUGGGGAGGUGACAAUGGGAGGAGGUGACAAGGGGAGGAGGUGGCACUGUGGGGUGGUGACACUGUGGGGUGGGUGACGUGGGAGGAGGUGACACAGGGGACAGUGACAUGGUGGGGAGGUGACACUGGGGAAGGUGACCCGGGGGGGAAGGUGACACUGGGGGACAGUGACACUGUAGGGUUGGUGACAAUGGGAGGAGGUGACACCGUGGGAUGGUGACACCGGGG
rnacentral:lncRNA from 1 species